rnacentral:rRNA from 1 species
AAAGCGCGCGUAGGUGGUUUGUUAAGUUGUAUGUGAAAUCCCCGGGCUCAACCUGGGAACUGCAUUCAAAACUGACUGACUAGAGUAUGGUAGAGGGUGGUGGAAUUUCCUGUGUAGCGGUGAAAUGCGUAGAUAUAGGAAGGAACACCAGUGGCGAAGGCGACCACCUGGACUAAUACUGACACUGAGGUGCGAAAGCGUGGGGAGCAAACAGGAUUAGAUACCCCAGU